AUUGAACGCUGGCGGCAGGCCUAACACAUGCAAGUCGAGCGGAGCGGCGGACGGGUGAGUAAUGCCUAGGAAUGUGCCUGGAAGUGGGGGAUAACAUACGGAAACGGGCGGUGAUACAGAAUACUAUCAGAUGAGCCUAGGUCGGAUUAGUUAGUUGGUGGGGUAAAGGCCUACCAAGGCGACGAUCCGUAACUGGUCUGAGAGGAUGAGCAGUCACACUGGAACUGAGACACGGCCCAGACUCCUACGGGAGGCAGCAGUGGGGAAUAUUGGACAAUGGGCGAAAGCCUGAUCCAGCCAUGCCGCGGGUGUGAAGAAGGUCUUCGGAUUGUAAAGCACUUUAAGUUGGGAGGCGUUACCAACAGAAUAAGCACCGGCUAACUCCGUGCCAGCAGCCGCGGUAAUUC
rnacentral:rRNA from 1 species